rnacentral:misc_RNA from 1 species
GAAAUGCGAUAAGUAAUGUGAAUUGCAGAAUUCAGUGAAUCAUCGAAUCUUUGAACGCACAUUGCGCCCGCCAGCACUCUGGCGGGCAUGCCUGUUCGAGCGUCAUUCAACCCUCAGAACCCCUUGCGGGAUCUGGCGUUGGGGAUUGGCAUCCAGCCAGUCCCGAAAUCUAGUGGCGGUCCCUCCGCGACCUCCCCUGUGCAGUAGCGAUACCUCGCAGCGGGACAGCGGUCUGACCACGCCGUAAAACCCCCAACUUCUCAAGGUUGACCUCGAAUCAGGUAGGAAUACCCGCUGAACUUAAGC